UAUACUCAUAUACACACAUACACCAUACACAUAUACACACAUACACACAUACACCAUACACAUAUACACACAUACACACAUACACCAUACACAUGUACACACAUACACCAUACACAUAUACACAUGUACACAUAUAUAGAAAUACACAUAUGCACAUAUACUUAAUGCACAUAUAUACAUAUACACAUUGCAAAUGCUACAUCCACUGCAGUAGUGACUCGCUUGGCAGGCCUAAAAACCUGGAAGCAGUCCUGAGGCAAAGAGCUUCAAGGAAACUCAGCCUCCUGGAACCAUAGCAUUCCCAUAGCUAAAAUGCCCCAGAUUUGUCCCUGCAAUAUCGUGGAGCGUCUUACAUGCUUUCUUACAGUAUUUUACUACAUAAGAGUUAGAUAUUUCAGGGCAAGCUUAGCAAAGUAUACUUAGAAUCUUCACUACAGCCAGGUAUAGUAGGCUACAUUGCAUAUUAGAAGCAAGUUGGUGAAUUCUUCUGACAAAUGGAGAUUCCCUACAAAUACUCAAAAGUACAGCCAAGUUGCCUUCAUAUAUAAGAAUUUAUCAAGGCCUAGGAAAUAGGGGGAGUUGUGAUAUUGCAUUAUUCAUGAGAAGGUCUGCUAGAGCAGAACCCCCUGGUGCUAGCUUUCACAAGGCCCAAAGGCGUAGCACAAAUUGUGACUAGGGUGUGAAAUCCUUAGCUGUCAUUAGCUGAUCCUAGGCAGGGCUGUUCUAUCUUUACUGUAAAUAUUACCUGGUUCCUAUAAGUCCUUUGAAGUCAUUCCUUUGUUUUGUGUCAGAUAACUUCAGUGUACUUUGCCUGCUGUGAUAUCCUACCCCUUUGUUUUCUGUAUUAUAUAAGACUGGCAUUCACUUUAUGACAUUACACUCAGAUUCUACACACUCUCUCCUGUCGUAUCUGUUUGUCAUCCGCCGACUCCUUCAC
rnacentral:lncRNA from 1 species